UGAAUUUUGAUGACUCUGCUGU
rnacentral:piRNA from 1 species